CGGGCUGUGGUGUAGUGGUAGCACGAGUCCUUUGGGAGGAUUUAGCCUCGGUUCGAAUCCGAGCAGCCCGA
rnacentral:tRNA from 1 species